GCGGUCGUGGCGGAACUGGUAGACGCGCUACCUUGAGGUGGUAGUUCCCAAAAGGAGUGGAGGUUCGAGUCCUCUCGACCGCA
rnacentral:tRNA from 1 species